UUUGUGCUUGUGUGCGCGCGCAAAUUUUGUUUUUGUUUUUAUUCCGCACCUCAGUUGGCCGGUGUAUUUUGUCAUAAAUAUUAGAAAAUGCAGGAAAUUUUGGGUCCCUUAUUUCUAGAGCCGUCGUUCGCCUUCGCCUGUGUCCCUGGAAAAAUUAAGCCGGCGGAUUAGCAUCGUUUGCAACAUUAUUGAGCAAGUUGGCGGAGAAGGUGAAAACAGAUGUUCCAAUCCGGCACCGUAUUUAUCGUUCAUCGAUGAAUCAAAGAAGAGUACGAGCAGGUACGUCGCAUCAGCCGAUAGCUGCAAGAAUCGUUAGGCACCCAAACCGAAGCAUCUCGUGCUGAAGGUGAAGGAACGGAUGUACCCCAGAUGGACAGCAUCGACAGAUUGGAGACGCAGUUGCAGCAGCGGAGUGAGUCCAGAUUCAAUCGGGCAGGGUCAACUGGGUUAAAGAACUCCUUGAACAGCCCCUGCCCCGUAAGACGCUCAAGGUUCUGCGAAAGGUCGAUUUGUAUCGGUCCCAGGCAUCCGUUCCGUGUGGCGUUGAACGUGGCCCGUGCAGUUCAGAAGGAGUACAACCAUUGUACAAAGAUCAACAAUCAACUGGAAUCCACACCAAGGAGAAGCGUGAUGUGUAUGACGUGAAAAUACAUAAAAUAUAUGGAUUUUGGUCGUGUUCGUAGA